AUAAUCGUCACUGAUGUUGGCCGUGAGCGGGAAUGGAACUCGGGUCGCCGGGUAGCGCUAACCGCGACCCCACCGCUCCCCGAUGGCCACCCUGUAUAUACACACACCCACACACAAGAGAAAUCGAGAUGAUGUCGACUUAAAGUGUUAGCGCCAGCGGGCCACUGGCGGCCCCUGGUGGGCCUUUGGUGUGGCCCCUGACAAUUCACAAAUAUGAAAACACCGCCCAUGGUGCUGUCAAACGCCCCAAACGGUCGCGAAUGCGUGGCGACCCUCACACAUCGAUGAUGUCUUAUUGGCGAAACUUCCACUCCCUCCGGAACCCUCUCUCUGAAAACGAGUGAAGAAUAUCGCUGGCGUGCUCUCGUGAUUCCCAGAGAUGAUUCUCAGAGGUGAUUCUCAGAGAUGAUUUCCAGAGAUGAUUCUCAGAGAUGAUUCCCAGAGAUGAUUCCCAGAGAUGAUUCCCAGAGAUUAUUCUCAGAGAUGAUUCCCAGAGAUGAUUCUCAGAGAUGAUUCCCAUAGGUGAUUCUCAGAGAUGAUUCCCAGAGAUGAUUCUCAGAGAUGAUUCUCAGAGGUGAUUCCCAGAGAUGAUUCUCAGAGAUGAUUCUCAGAGAUUAUUCUCAGAGGUGAUUCCCAGAGAUGAUUCUCAGAGAUGAUUCCCAGAGGUGAUUCCCAGAGAUGAUUCCCAGAGAUGAUUCUCAGAGAUUAUUCCCAGAGAUGAUUCCCAGAGAUGAUUCCCAGAGAUGAUUCCCAGAGACGAUUCUCAGAGAUGAUUCCCAGAGAUUAUUCUCAGAGAUGAUUCUCAGAGAUGAUUCCCAGAGAUUAUUCUCCGAGAUGAUUCCCAGAGAUGAUUCCCAGAGAUGAUUCCCAGAGAUUAUUCUCAGAGAUGAUUCCUAGAGAUGAUUCCUAGAGAUGAUUCCCAGAGAUUAUUCUCAGAGAUGAUUCCCAGAGAUUAUUCGCAGAGGUGAUUCCCAGAGAUUAUUCUCAGAGGUGAUUCCCAGAGAUUAUUCUCAGAGAUGAUUCCCAGAGAUGAUUCCCAGAGGUGAUUCCCAGAGAUUAUUCUCAGAGGUGAUUCUCAGAGAUGAUUCCCAGAGAUGAUUCCCAGAGAUGAUUCCCAGAGAUUAUUCUCAGAGAUGAUUCCCAUAGAUGAUUCUCAGAGAUGAUUCUCAGAGAUUAUUCUCAGAGAUGAUUCUCAGAGAUGAUUCUCAGAGAUGAUUCCCAGAGAUGAUUCUCAGAGAUGAUUCCCAGAGAUGAUUCCCAGAGAUCAUUCUCAGAGGUCAUUCCCAGAGAUUAUUCUCAGAGAUGAUUCUCAGAGAUUAUUAUCAGAGAUGAUUCCCAGAGAUGAUUCUCAGAGAUGAUUCCCAGAGAUGAUUCUCAGAGAUGAUUCCCAGAGGUGAUUCCCAGAGAUGAUUCUCAGAGAUUAUUCCCAUAGAUGAUUCCCAGAGAUGAUUCCCAUAGAUGAUUCUCAGAGGUGAUUCCCAGAGAUUAUUCCCAGAGAUCUUAGUCCUCGUGAUGCUGAGAAAUCGGAGCUCCCGUUGCAUCCGCUUCCCCGUGACGCCCCGCCCCCCGCCCCCCGCCCCGCCCCCCGCCCUCGGUCUCACCUACGCGGUGGUGCACUGCUCGCUGCGCCAAGCUGCGAGGCGCCGCCCCGUCACCACCCUCGCCUCUUGACGACAUCCGCACCUGGAGUGACACAGGCAGCCGCGUGCCGCACGCGGCGAGGCCGAUUGGUUUGCGUCGCAUCGCCGCGCGCGUGCGUCGUAGGAGCGGUCGUGGGAGCGGUGGGUGUAGCGGUUAGCGCAGCGCUGCGCUUCGAAGCCCGGCCACCCGGGUUCGAUCCACGCUCACGGCCAACACCCAGUGACGGUUAUCUGAACCGGACCUGGGCCUCCCCUAGGUCGACUCGGCCUCAAAUGAGAACGAGGGAGAAGUGGCAAUGUCGUACAAGCCUCCAAAAGACACGGGCCGCCCCCCCCUUCGUGUAGCCUUAACAGACCGCUAGGGGCAAGUGCUGUGCGUGAGGACCUGUGAAGGUCCGGCACGGCACACGAGGGGGUGGGUGGCCAGCACCAGGCCCGGCCGCCUUUGUCUCCCCAGUGGCGAUGCUUUACACACCGCACCAGGUAAUUAUUCGCCACCGUUCUUGCUGCCUGAUAUUGUCACUACCAGCGAAACGUCGUACCUCCAAAUUGGUGCUGCUGCUGCUGCUACUGAAGGAGUGAAUAAUAUAUCGGCCACAUUUGUUCACCGCGUGGUAACUAUCCAUAGGCUGCCGUGUCGGGUGGAGGAAGAGUGCACGACACAGAGAUUUAACUGGCGUGGCGAUCUGACCCCCUUCCGAUCUGACCCCCUUCCGAAAAAUUGUUCCAUCAUGAAUCGGAAAUAAAUAAAUGUCACCACCACCAUCACCACCGCCACCACCACCAUUAUCAUCAUCGUGUUGCGUCCGAAACGUCGUCAUUUAUGUUUGUUUUAUUUCUACCUACCACGUGACUUUACCGAAAGAACCAAAGAGUGUUGGAUUUCUGCAGUCACGAAAGCUUCAAAUCAAGAUCAUCAUCACCACCAUCAUCAUCACCAAGGCUAGAAGUUCAGGCCUGGGAGGACGCGUGAUUUUUAAUGUGAGCUCGCUUCCGUGACCGCGGCGACGAUGAUGAUGAUGUACCGGCUCCUGGGUCCAUGUGCCUGCUUCUGUGCCACGCUACAGCUGCUGCUGCUGUGCGAUGUCUGGUCUUGGGCUGCUGCUGCUGCUGCUACUGCUGCUGCUACCGUUGUUUCUGUGUAUCGGUGUUUGCGAUAUCGAGGCUGCUUCAUAGGCGUCGUUCGUGUUCGUGUCUCCGCGUGCUCGCCUGACGCAGCGAUUGUCCGGGUGCGGUUUUUUUUUCUUCCGCUCGAAACCUCCCCGCGUGGACGGAGUAAAGCGACGCGUGGGGAGACGAAUCCUCAAGACCCUUCUCAAGUUUGUGGGUGGGCGGUGGCGGUGGUGGGGGUGGUGGGAGGGGAUUCUGGAAAUGUCAAGCUAUUUAAACAGUGCCCCUCCCCCGCCCCCCCCCCCCCCCGCCCCCCCCCCCCCGUACAUUGAUGAAUUUGAAUCAAUAAUCAGAUUAAUUCGAUGAUGUAUGAUUUUUUUGUUGUACCCGUCGAUUAUCAAUAAGAUGUGCGCGAUAAUAUGAAUGCAUCGAUUAAACCUCGUGUUGCCACCUCUGCGGUACAGAAAUCCGGGACUCGUUGCAUUGA